GGUUUUAGACAAGCAGGAAGAAGAAGAAGUGUUGUGUGAAAAGCCACAAAGUCGAGAAAGUGCACAGUCGAAGGAAGGGCAAUCUUAUAUAUUUUAAACGAUCCGGAAAACGGUGAUCAUGCAGCAAGUGUGUCUGCUGACUGUAGUGUCCCUGUUUGUGACGUCAGCCCAAUGUAAGACCCCCGGCUUACAGACUAGAAUCACUGACAGGGCCCUUGAAUAUGCUACAGAAGUGGCUCUUGAUAUUUUGUCCAAACAAGUGACGGGUCAGCAAAUACCAGACCAACAUGGCCAGUCCGGUGACGUCAAAUUCGACAUUACAGGAAUGAAUGUUAAACAGUUCACAAAGCCCAGCAGUCGAGUAUCCCUGAUUCAGAACGUCGGUCUUUCCUGGUCCACGAGUGGAACGGGUCUGGCUAUCCAUGGAGACUUCAAAUACAAAUACAGGAAAGGGAUAAUCAAAAUUUCUGAUCACGGUAGCUUUGACUUGAAAGCGAAUAGUAUUAAUUUCCAGAUAAAGAUAGAAAUAGGAAUGGACGGUACCGGGCGCCCUACUAUGAAGGCUGUAGGGUGUAGCUGUAAUGUCGGGUCAGCGGACAUCAAAUUCCACGGAGGAGCAGCGUGGAUCUAUAACUUGUUUUCAGGGCAACUUGAAAAUACACUGAAAGAUAUGGUUGGAGGCGGAAAUGGAUUAUAACUGUGCAAAUUGCGAAGAGGUUUUUACUGGAUUACAGAUUUUUAUCGAAACCCUCAUUUCAAACAAAAUUUAUGGAAACCUAUCACAAGGGAGAAGUUUACUGGAACGCAGUUCCCGUGGAUGCCCCAUUUGCAGCCCCGCCUUUGUUGAAAUCCUCAGAUACUUCCAGAAUGAUGUAUAUCUGGCUAUCUGACUACGUCUUCAAUACAAUGUCUUACAAUGCAUUGAAAUAUAACCAAUUGCAAUAUAAUGUUACAAAUAAAGAUCUUCCAUCUGGUGUAUUGAAUACGACUUGUCCUCAAUCAACAUGCAUUGGGAAAAUAAUAAAAGCAAUUGGCACCAAAUUCCCAAACACCACAGUGAUGUUGUACAUGAAAUCUACAUCAAUGCCAAACAUGACGGUACAGAACGGAUCUACGGUAGUGAACGCUUCCGGGGACAUCGUGUUCUUUGCGCAACAACCGGGCGGAAAAUACACCUACUUCCUAACGCUGUCAGCUACGAUGUCAACCACGAUUUCUCUGAUGAUACAAAACGAGAAAGUUUUCGCUAAAGUCCUCAAAUUACCUAUAUCAGUAACUGUGAAAGAUUCGAAAAUUCCGGUAUCGCCGGAGGGGCUCAAUUUCAUCGUAAAAGGCAUUGUUUCUGUCUUCGUCGAACCAAAACUUAAUGAACUCGGGGCAGCGGGAUUCCCUCUUCCUGUCAUUAAUUCCGUGCAUUUCACGAACACACAACUGACCGUCGCCAAGGACACACUUUUGAUUGCAACAGAUCUGAAAUACAGUGGCUGAGACACAAAUGAAAUUUUCAAAAAGACACUUUUGGAAAUCGAAUUUCUUAUUCAAAUGAGAGAGAGAGAGAGAGAGAGAGAGAGAGAGAGAGAGAGAGAGAGAAAAUCGUGUUUUACUUAAAACACAUAUGUAAACUAAUUUGCAUUUUUUUUCACAGGAGACGGAUAUAUUAAAUCCUUUAUUCUUGUACGAUGUACAAAUAAACUAUAUAUGUGGUU
rnacentral:misc_RNA from 1 species